AGUCGAACGGCAGCACAGAAGAGCUUGCUCUUUGGGUGGCGAGUGGCGGACGGGUGAGUAAUGUCUGGGAAACUGCCCGAUGGAGGGGGAUAACUACUGGAAACGGUAGCUAAUACCGCAUAACGUCGCAAGACCAAAGUGGGGGACCUUCGGGCCUCACACCAUCGGAUGUGCCCAGAUGGGAUUAGCUAGUAGGUGGGGUAAUGGCUCACCUAGGCGACGAUCCCUAGCUGGUCUGAGAGGAUGACCAGCCACACUGGAACUGAGACACGGUCCAGACUCCUACGGGAGGCAGCAGUGGGGAAUAUUGCACAAUGGGCGCAAGCCUGAUGCAGCCAUGCCGCGUGUAUGAAGAAGGCCUUCGGGUUGUAAAGUACUUUCAGCGGGGAGGAAGGCGGUGAGGUUAAUAACCUCGCCGAUUGACGUUACCCGCAGAAGAAGCACCGGCUAACUCCGUGCCAGCAGCCGCGGUAAUACGGAGGGUGCAAGCGUUAAUCGGAAUUACUGGGCGUAAAGCGCACGCAGGCGGUCUGUUAAGUCAGAUGUGAAAUCCCCGGGCUUAACCUGGGAACUGCAUUUGAAACUGGCAGGCUUGAGUCUCGUAGAGGGGGGUAGAAUUCCAGGUGUAGCGGUGAAAUGCGUAGAGAUCUGGAGGAAUACCGGUGGCGAAGGCGGCCCCCUGGACGAAGACUGACGCUCACGUGCGAAAACGUGUGGAGCAAACAGGAUUAGAUACCCUGGUAUUCCACGCCGUAUACGAUGUCUACUUGGAGGUUGUGCCCUUUAGGCGUGGCUUCCGGAGAUAACACGUUAAGUCGACCACCUGGGGAGUACGGCCGCAAGGUGGGACUCAACUGAAUUAACGGAGGCCCCCCCAGCGGUGUAGCAUCCGCUUUAUUUCUAUGCAACGCGAGGACCAUACCUGGCCGUGGCGUCCAGAAAAGUAAUAGAGAUGCUUUGGUGCCUUCGGGAACUCUGAGACAGGUGCUGCAUGGCUGUCGUCAGCUCGUGUUGUGAAAUGUUGGGUUAAGUCCCGCAACGAGCGCAACCCUUAUCCUUUGUUGCCAGCGGUUCGGCCGGGAACUCAAAGGAGACUGCCGGUGAUAAACCGGAGGAAGGUGGGGAUGACGUCAAGUCAUCAUGGCCCUUACGGCCAGGGCUACACACGUGCUACAAUGGCGCAUACAAAGAGAAGCGACCUCGCGAGAGCAAGCGGACCUCAUAAAGUGCGUCGUAGUCCGGAUUGGAGUCUGCAACUCGACUCCAUGAAGUCGGAAUCGCUAGUAAUCGUAGAUCAGAAUGCUACGGUGAAUACGUUCCCGGGCCUUGUACACACCGCCCGUCACACCAUGGGAGUGGGUUGCAAAAGAAGUAGGUAGCUUAACCUUCGGGAGGGCGCUACCAUCUUUA
rnacentral:rRNA from 1 species